UACGUAGGGGGCGAGCGUUGUCCGGAUUUAUUGGGCGUAAAGAGCUCGUAGGCGGUUCGAUAAGUCGGACGUGAAAUCUCCACGCUCAACGUGGAGGGGCCGUUCGAUACUGUCGUGACUCGAGUCCGGUAGGGGAGUGUGGAAUUCCCGGUGUAGCGGUGAAAUGCGCAGAUAUCGGGAGGAACACCGAAGGCGAAGGCAGUGUCCUGGCGCGUAACUGACGCUGAGGUGCGAAAGCCAGGGGAGCGAACGGG
rnacentral:rRNA from 1 species